rnacentral:rRNA from 2 species
UACGUAGGGGGCAGGCGUUAUCCGGAUUUACUGGGUGUAAAGGGAGCGUAGACGGCAAGGCAAGUCUGAUGUGAAAGGCGGGGGCUCAACUCCUGGACUGCAUUGGAAACUGUCAAGCUAGAGUGUCGGAGGGGUAAGCGGAAUUCCUGGUGUAGCGGUGAAAUGCGCAGAUAUCAGGAGGAACACCGGUGGCGAAGGCGGCUUACUGGACGGCAACUGACGUUGAGGCUCGAAAGCGUGGGGAGCAAACAGG